GUAAACUGCUUUUUCACACCCUGAAACUCAAGCUCUAAAACAGUGUCCUUCAAUGAAUAUUGACCUGGAGGUGCAAUGUAAGUGAUUUUUCCCAUGGCAUCAGGAGGAAGUGCAACAUGAUGCUGCAUUAGACUGUUUUCAAAGACAGUUGCAUAUAAGUCUCCACCAGUCACAAGAUCUCCCUCACCUAUUUUUUUAGGCUGAAAUUCCCAGGGCGUAUCUUUGUCAAGGGCCGGGACAGACACACCACGAGGGAUAUAGACAUCACCAGAUCUUUUUGCAAUGGUUUUCAAAGGCCUCUGAAUUCCAUCAAA
rnacentral:misc_RNA from 1 species